rnacentral:rRNA from 1 species
AGCGAACGCUGGCGGCGUGCCUAACACAUGCAAGUCGAACGUGAAAGGGAGCAGUCCCAAGUAAAGUGGCUUACGGGUGAGUAACACGUAGGUAAUCUACCCCAGAAUCUGGAAUAACCGGCCGAAAGGCUGGCUAAUACUGGAUAGAGCGACGGAAUCCGUAAGUGUGUUUUUCGGGAAAGUGAGCCUGUAACAAGGCCUUCGGUCUGGGAUGAGCCUGCGUCCCAUCGACUAGUUGGUGAGGUAAAAGCUUACCAAGGCAAAGAAGGGUAGGUGGUCCUGAAGGGAGAUCAGCCCAAACUGAACCGGAACACGGUCCAGGACCCUAAGGGAGGCAGCCGUGGGGAAUCUUGCGAAAAGGAGGAAAGGCCGAAGCAGCCACGACGCGGGAGUGAAGGAAGCCUUCGGGUUGUUAAGGUCCGUCGGGUGGGAAGAAAAUGCUGCGAGUUAACAGCUCCAGGAACUGACGGUACCAAUAAAGGAAGCACCGGCUAACUCCGUG